CUGUGUCGCGGGUCACCUGCUGCUGCUUCUCGCCCCGUCUUGGAAGCCUCUCCUUCCCUGGCUUUCCCCGCCGCGCCUCCGAGUUGCCUGGGGAAGCUGCCUCCAGACAUGCCACCUCUCUAGCUAUUGGAGGGCAGGUAUUGUGAGAAACCUUCCAGGGAAACAGCACAGAAUGGACUGCUAGUUUUUUUUUUUAAGGAAUAUAUAUAAAUAUUUCAACAAAUCAUAAAGAAAUUCUAUCUCUUCGAUCAUUACAAAAGAAGUCAAAUGAACUUUUUUUAUCAAGAGCUGGGACAUCUACAUAUCUAUCUGGACUGGAAAGAGACUGUUGUGCUAAAAUCCUGUCAUCAUGGUGGAUUUUAUCUUCAAUGGCCAAAAAUGAAGAAUUGAAGCAACAUAGUUCUUGACUGAACCGGUGGGUGGGUUGAGCUUCAGGGAGGUACAUGGGCGGUCAUUCCUGGCAUGAGUAUCAGUGUGACAUGAGCCCUGGAGGAUGCCGGUCCUUCUCAGACCUGUCCCUUACUGCCUCCUGUGGCCCAGUGACGGGCCCUACCCUAGAACUGUGUAUUAUCAAAUUUGCCAUUAUAAAGCAAUCUUCCUGUGGAA